GAUCAUGGCUCAGAUUGAACGCUGGCGGUAUGCUUAACACAUGCAAGUCGAACGGUAACAGGCCUUCGGGCGCUGACGAGUGGCGGACGGGUGAGUAACGCGUAGGAAUCUGCCUCAUAGUGGGGGACAACGUGGGGAAACUCACGCUAAUACCGCAUACGCCCUACGGGGGAAAGCGGGGGAUCUUCGGACCUCGCGCUAUGAGAUGAGCCUGCGUUAGAUUAGCUAGUUGGUAGGGUAAAGGCCUACCAAGGCGACGAUCUAUAGCUGGUCUGAGAGGACGAUCAGCCACACUGGGACUGAGACACGGCCCAGACUCCUACGGGAGGCAGCAGUGGGGAAUAUUGGACAAUGGGCGCAAGCCUGAUCCAGCAAUACCGCGUGUGUGAAGAAGGCCUUAGGGUUGUAAAGCACUUUCAAUUGGGAGGAAAACCUGCCGGUCAAUACCCGGUAGCUUGACAUUACCUUUAGAAGAAGCACCGGCUAACUCCGUG
rnacentral:rRNA from 1 species